UGGGGAAUAUUGGGCAAUGGGCGAAAGCCUGACCCAGCAACGCCGCGUGAGGGAAGAAGGCCUUCGGGUUGUAAACCUCUGUCCUUGGUGACGAAAAAAAUGACGGUAGCCAAGGAGGAAGCCCCGGCUAACUACGUGCCAGCAGCCGCGGUAAUACGUAGGGGGCGAGCGUUGUCCGGAAUUACUGGGCGUAAAGGGUGCGUAGGCGGCCGAUUAAGUUGGAUGUGAAAUACCCGGGCUUAACCUGGGGGGUGCAUCCAAUACUGGUUGGCUAGAGUGCAGGAGAGGGAAGCGGAAUUCCUAGUGUAGCGGUGAAAUGCGUAGAUAUUAGGAGGAACACCAGUGGCGAAGGCGGCUUUCUGGACUGUAACUGACGCUGAUGCACGAAAGCGUGGGGAGCAAACAGG
rnacentral:rRNA from 1 species